rnacentral:rRNA from 1 species
UAGCGAAAGCUAGUUGUAUUAAUUAUGUCUUUAGUUAAAUGCAGCAUCGACUAUGUCGAAUAAAGUUCUAGGUAGAGUUAUGAUAAUGACAUUUUCUACCUAUGUGUCUUGACCAAAUCACGUGCCAGCAGUCGCGGAAAUACGUGGAAGACUAGUGUUAUUCAUCUUUAAUAGGUUUAAAGGGUACUUAGACGGUAAAUUAAGCCCAGAUAAAAAUAAAGGGUACUAAUUAUACUAGAGUUUAAAUGAGAGGGGGGGUGUAGUAGUGGUGUAGAGAUGAAAUUCUGUCAUACCAAGAUGACAGGCAACGGCGCAAGCAACCUUUUAUGUGUAGACUGACGUUAAAGGACGAAGGCUUUGUAUCACCAACAGGAUUAGGUACCCAAGCAGUCUUAGCAGACAAUUCUGAAUGCCAUAGAUAAGAAAAGAUUCUUUUCUCUCUAUCUCUAUUAAUAAAAAGAGAUAGAUGUUAUUUUGUCUAUAAAUGAAAGUGUAAGCAUUCCACCUCAAGAGUAAUGUGGCAACGCAUAAACUGAAAUCAUUAGACCGUUUCUGAAACCAGUAGUGAAGUAUGUUGUUUAAUUUGAUGGUCCGCACAAAACCUCACCACAAUUUGUAUAUUAUUAUCUUAAUACAGGAGUUGCACGGCUGUCUUCAGUUAAUGUCGUGAGAUUUUGGUUAGUUCCAUUAAAUUAACGUAAACCCUUACUUUAUUUAUG